rnacentral:rRNA from 1 species
AUGGCUAGGGCUAGUUCGCUGCGCAACGUACAGAGAUUUCACCCCUCCGGAAGAGCGUCAAUGACUGGGGGAAACCACUUAGCAACGAAAAGCAUGGUGCAGCUGUUCAAUGAGUGGGAGAUCCAACUACUGGUGCUUGUUAGCUUCACAAUCCAGUUCUUUCUCUUCUUUGCUGGCAGCCUCCGGCGGCGUAUCAGAAACAGUGCAAUGAGAUCAUUAAUGUGGCUAGCUUACUUGGGAGCGGACGUGGUAGCAGCUUAUGUCCUAGGCCUCAUCUCGCGACAAGAGGUUUCCACUCAUCAUCUGGCUUUUUUCUGGGCGCCCUUCCUCCUCAUACAUCUCGGCGGACAAGACACCAUCACUGCUUUUGCCAUCGAGGACAACACUCUCUGGCGGCGGCAUUUGUUGAAUCUUGUUGUCCAAGCGUCCCUCACCCUGUAUAUCUUCUGGAAAUCAUUCGAUGGCGGCCCUAACAUGCAGCUUCUUGCUCCUAGCAUCCUUUUGUUUAUUACUGGCAGCCUGAGAAACGUCAGGGACUUGUCUUCUCGUUGGGAUACAUACCUUAUCUCUCCUGGCCCUGUUUCCUCUGCCUUGAGCUCAGCAGAUCUUGUGCGCACGUUUUUUACUGGCCUUAAUUGCCCCCUUCACGGUUGGGCUAUCGAUAUGUUGCGCCCAGACCUUUCAACCAGGUUAUUCGAGAUCAUGGAGAUUCAACUCGGCCUGAUGUAUGAUGAUAUCUAUACUAAGGCCCUCGUGCUUCGGACGUGGGGUUGCACCAUACUUCGGUGCAUCUCACAUCUUUCCUUUCUGGCCGCUUUUGUGCUCUUCUCUUCGGUAGUAAGAAACAAAGAAGAGAGGUGGCACUACAUUUCAUUUGACGCUGCAAUCACCUAUGGACUGUUUUUCGGCGGUUUCUCUCUUGAAGUUUCCUCAGUAUGUAUCAUCAUGAUGUCACCUCGAUCUUGUGCGUGCCUAGAUACUCGGCAUUGUAGCUUCCUUGGUUCCAUCAUUACUAGGUGUAGGCGUCCAAGGAAAAGAAGGGUGUUGUGGUCAAACUCCAUGGGUCAGUUCAACAUGUUAAACUAUUUGGGGCAGUAUGACCGGCACUCAAGUAAAAGCAUGUCUGUGAUCAGGAAACUAGCGAAUGUAUUUUGCAGGACGGCAUAUCAAAAGUUGUGGAUCAGUAAGCAGGUGGACACCAAGUUCGUGGAGGUGGAUGAGCACAUCAUGAGAUGCGUCGUCCAGAGGAUAGCUCAGUAUCGAAAUGAUGGUAGCCCCCAGCAGCAAUGGCCAACUCUUGGUCCACUGCUAGGGAAGUUAGCGCAGGAACCUGAUUCCAACUUUGAUUGUGAUGCCAUUAUCAUCCUCCAUGUAUUCACAGAGGUACAGUUGAGUACGUAUGUAACCACUGCUGCUGUGGAGAGUGAGCCUAGCGAUGCUUCGGUCCGUGGUGUAUGCCGGAUGAUAUCCCAGUAUAUGUUUUAUCUUUUGGUCACGCACCCUGAAAUGCUGCCAAUCAGGGAUAGCGACCAAAGUUAUCUUGCGUCAGUAACAAGGCAUUAUAAAAAUUUGAAGGGUGCGGAUGUUAAUGACAUCCAGCGUCGGGCAAUAUUGUACUUGACUAGAUUUGAUUUAUUAUCGGACCCCCCAGAGGAAUGCACAGAAGCGCAGCUGUUGGAGAUCCGAGAGGCAUGGGUAGGUCUGCUCCUCCAUGUCGCCAGCAAGUCGCGGCCGGAGAUGCAUGCGGCGCUGCUAGCCAGUGGAGGGGAGCUCCUUACCUUCAUCUGGCUGCUCAUGGCCCACUACGGACUUGGGGAUGUCCACGGCUGCCCCAUCGAGAUGAUGGCUGAUCGUGCACCUACUGGUCAGCGCCACUACGCCUUCUGA